rnacentral:lncRNA from 1 species
GUUUAAAUGGCAUGGAUCCAAAUAAGGGAAGGCCUGCAAAGAGAAAAUCAAAGGAAAAGCACAAGGUCAGAGAAGUGAAUGCUAUGGAAGAUGCUGAUGGCCAAACUCAGCCAUCUGAGGCAUGCUCAGAAAAUGAAACAGACCCAUGUUCUAACAUACUGCAAACAAAAACGGAGAACAAGCCCUGUGAGCUACCUACAAGACAAACUGAAAACAUGAAAGGCAGCAAAGCAGAAGGAGAGGUGCUGAAAACAGAGCCAGUGAGAUCAAGAGUUGCAUUAAAAGAAAAGGGGGAUCUAGGAGAAGGUGAAAGGGUGACGCUCCAGUCACCAGGAAAGGACGCUCUUUAUCCUGGAGACGCUGGAAGGCAGCACCGUGACACGGCUCUGAGGAUCCUGCGCCUGAAAGUAAAGCAGACUUUGAAGCAGUUGCAAGAGGCCCAGGACCGACAAAGAGAAGUUGUUCAGAGUUCGCAGAGGAUGCAGGACCACUUGCAGAAGCUUCAGGCUGGAUGUUCUGAGGCAGAAGUUAUGGAACAGGAGCAAGGAGAGAAAACUGCAGCGCUUCAGAAGCUACACACAGGCCUGACUAGAGUCAAAGAGGAACGGAUAAAGAAACUAAACAAAAUCACACACUCUCUGAAGUGUUCUCUGGAUCAAAUGAAGAAUAAAAAUGAAGAAUUAGAGAGGGAGCUCACUGAAAUAAAGAAACACUUAGGAGUAAUGAGAAAGAAAUUGAAUGACCAUGAAAAUGGAGAAUUUAGUUGUCAUGGAAAUUUUAAAACUAAAG